CAGUGGCAGAAACUAUUUCGAUAACCCAACAAAGAACAUUUAAAAUCAGCUUCCGUUGUAGCUAUUUAGACAACCUCGCCGUUUUAAAAAUUCUGCUAACUGUACGGAUCGGUAAAUUAACUUAAAAAAUGUUUUAGACUAUAACUUACUUCAUUCGUCAAACCCAUUUGAACCAAACAUAUUGUUUGGUUCAGUGGGAUAUGUACACAAAAUGGCGGAAGACAGAACCAAGGCCCUGACUGAACUCUUAACCUCGUUGAGAGAACUCGUGCGUUGGUAAGCUGCAGUGGUCAAGGACCUCGAAACAUUAAGUUUUCGAAGUUGGGUGCAUUUGUGAUGGUGAAAGACCCAUAAGGGAUGAGUACCACCGGAAGGCGAUUCCAUACUUCGCUAGUUCGUGAAAGAAAGUGCCGUGUGAAACCGACUGUGGAAUACUUCCAGCCUUCAAGGCGAUGCUGAUGAAAUUUUAAUUGAUAUAUUAUUUCGUAAUGUUGCAGCUGUGUAUUAAUGCAUUUAAGGUUACAUAUUCAAAACAAACAGUGUAAUA